rnacentral:rRNA from 1 species
CCUACGGGUGGCAGCAGUGAGGAAUAUUGGUCAAUGGACGGGAGUCUGAACCAGCCAAGCCGCGUGAAGGAUGACUGCCCUAUGGGUUGUAAACUGCUUUUGUAUGGGGAUAAACCUGGAUAUGUAUACUCUCUUGUAAGUACUGUAUGAAUAAGGAUCGGCUAACUCCGUGCCAGCAGCCGCGGUAAUACGGAGGAUCCAAGCGUUAUCCGGAUUUAUUGGGUUUAAAGGGAGCGUAGGUGGAUUGUUAAGUCAGUUGUGAAAGUUCCGGGCUUAACCCGGGAACUGCCGUUGAAACUGGCAAUCUAGAGUGUAGGAGCGGUAGGCGGAAUUUGUGGUGUAGCGGUGAAAUGCUUAGAUAUCACAAAGAACACCGAUUGCGAAGGCAGCUCACCAGACUAUAACUGACGCUGAGGCACGAAAGUGUGGGUAGCAAACAGGAUUAGAUACCCGGGUAGUC